AUGGGGGAAGGUGAUGAAGAUGUUAGUGAAGAUGACGGAGUUGUUGGAGUAGAUCGCCGUCACAUGAUGAUUGCCCCGACGGCAUUCCGGCGCCAACGGGAGAGAGGGGGAGAGAGCCCCCCUCCUUCUUCUUCUUCAUUGGCAUCCCCUUUAGAUGGGAGGAGAGUUCCCUAUCUGGUCCAUGGCCUCCAUGGUGGCGGAGGGGCAGGAGCCCCUCCGAGAUUGGAUCUCCCUCUCUGUUCUCUUCUGUUUCGCACUCCCAGAUCUGGCCAAAAACCGUUUCUUAAAUAUCCGGAGAUCCGUAACUCCGAUUGCGCUGAGAUUUUAACACGGUUUUUUCGGAUAUAA
rnacentral:rRNA from 1 species